rnacentral:rRNA from 1 species
UACGAAGGGGGCUAGCGUUGCUCGGAAUCACUGGGCGUAAAGCGCACGUAGGCGGAUUGCUAAGUCAGGGGUGAAAUCCUGGAGCUCAACUCCAGAACUGCCUUUGAUACUGGGAGUCUUGAGUUCGGGAGAGGUGAGUGGAACUGCGAGUGUAGAGGUGAAAUUCGUAGAUAUUCGCAAGAACACCAGUGGCGAAGGCGGCACUCUGGGCCGGAACUGACGCUGAGGAGCGAAAGCGUGGGAGCGAACAGG